rnacentral:rRNA from 1 species
CUGGCGGCGUGCUUAACACAUGCAAGUCGAACGGUAAGGCCCUUCGGGGUACACGAGUGGCGAACGGGUGAGUAACACGUGGGUGAUCUGCCCUGCACUUCGGGAUAAGCCUGGGAAACUGGGUCUAAUACCGGAUAGGACUCCUGGCUUCAUGGUUGGGGGUGUAAAGCUUUUGCGGUGUGGGAUGGGCCCGCGGCCUAUCAGCUUGUUGGUGGGGUAAUGGCCUACCAAGGCGACGACGGGUAGCCGGCCUGAGAGGGUGACCGGCCACACUGGGACUGAGAUACGGCCCAGACUCCUACGGGAGGCAGCAGUGGGGAAUAUUGCACAAUGGGCGCAAGCCUGAUGCAGCGACGCCGCGUGAGGGAUGACGGCCUUCGGGUUGUAAACCCCUUUCAAUAGGGACGAAGCGCAAGUGACGGUACCUAUAGAAGAAGGACCGGCCAACUACGUG